rnacentral:rRNA from 1 species
AAACUUACGCUAAUACCGCAUACGACCUUAGGGUGAAAGCGGAGGACCUUCGGGCUUCGCGCGGAUAGAUGAGCCGAUGUCGGAUUAGCUAGUUGGCGGGGUAAAGGCCCACCAAGGCGACGAUCCGUAGCUGGUCUGAGAGGAUGAUCAGCCACACUGGAACUGAGACACGGUCCAGACUCCUACGGGAGGCAGCAGUGGGGAAUAUUGGACAAUGGGCGCAAGCCUGAUCCAGCCAUGCCGCGUGGGUGAAGAAGGCCUUCGGGUUGUAAAGCCCUUUUGUUGGGAAAGAAAAGCAGUCGGUUAAUACCCGAUUGUUCUGACGGUACCCAAAGAAUAAGCACCGGCUAACUUCGUGCCAGCAGCCGCGGUAAUACGAAGGGUGCAAGCGUUACUCGGAAUUACUGGGCGUAAAGCGUGCGUAGGUGGUUGUUUAAGUCCGUUGUGAAAGCCCUGGGCUCAACCUGGGAAUUGCAGUGGAUACUGGGCAACUAGAGUGUGGUAGAGGAUGGCGGAAUUCCCGGUGUAGCAGUGAAAUGCGUAGAGAUCGGGAG